GAUGAACGCUGGCGGCGUGCCUAAUACAUGCAAGUCGAGCGAAGAAUAUAGCAAUAUGUUCUUAGCGGCGAACGGGUGAGUAACGCGUUGGUGACCUGCCCCAAAGUGUGGGAUAACAGUCCGAAAGGACUGCUAAUACCGCAUGUGAUCCCUGGGAUUAGAUGCCCGGUAAUUAAAGGAGUAAUUCGCUUUGGGAGGGACCUGCGUCCCAUCAGCUAGUUGGUAGGGUAGUGGCCUACCAAGGCUAUGACGGGUAGGGGACCUGAGAGGGUGGACCCCCACAAUGGAACUGAAACACGGGCCAUACACCUACGGGUGGCAGCAGCAGGGAAUAGUGCAUAAUGGGCGAAAGCCUGAUGCAGCAACGCCGCGUGUGCGAUGACGGCCUUCGGGUUGUAAAGCACUUUUGGAAGGGAUGAGGAAGGACAGUACCUUCUGAAUAAGCCUCGGCUAACUACGUGCCAGCCGCCGCAGUAAGAC
rnacentral:rRNA from 1 species